AUGGAAAGAAUGGCAAGCUCAUACUUCAAAGAGGUUUUUACUAAAGAUCCAACAUUGGAUCCGAACGAGGUACUGGAUACUAUCACCCCUAAAGUCUCGAUGGAGAUGAAUGAGGCUUUAUGCAAAGCGUAUACGGAGGAGGAGAUAUCCAACGCGCUGUUUCAGAUUGGCCCGUUGAAAGCUCCGGGAUGUGAUGGGUUUCCGGCCAGGUUUUACCAACGGAACUGGGCUACUCUUAAGGAGGAAAUUGUGGCAGCCGUGCAUGAGUUCUUUUCCAGUGGUGUCAUGCCGGAUGGUGUUAAUGACACGACCAUUGUGCUAAUCCCCAAAGUGCCACUUCCAAGAGAGCUCAAGGAUUUCAGACCCAUUAGCUUAUGCAAUGUGGUGUAUAAAAUUGUUUCUAAGUGCAUGGUAAAUAGGCUUCGGCCGCUUCUAGAUGAGCUCAUUUCAGAAAAUCAGAGUGCCUUCAUCCCCGGGAGGCUUAUUUCUGAUAACUCCAUCAUCGCAUUUGAAUGUAUUCAUCACAUCCAGAACGUCAGAUCUAAUUCUCCACCGUUGUGUGCUUACAAACUGGAUCUGUCAAAGGCUUACGAUCGUGUUGACUGGAACUUCCUGGAGAGGGCUCUGUCCAAGUGGGGUUUCAGUGAUGUUUGGAUAUCCCGUGUGAUGGCGUGCGUUUCAUCUGUGAAGUACUCUGUGAAAUUUAAUGGUAAGUUAUUGGAGCCUUUCUCCCCCUCAAGAGGGCUCCGCCAAGGUGACCCCUUAUCACCCUUUCUCUUUCUCUUUGUGGCUGAUGCUCUAUCUCCCCUGUUACAUAAAUCAAUGAGAGAGGAUGGCCUACAAGGGGUUAAGAUAUGCAGGACUGCUCCGGUUAUUUCACAUCUGUUGUUUGCAGACGAAUCAAUUCUGUUUUUUCAAGCUUCGGAACAGCAAGCUAACUUGGUUAAGAGUGUUGAACAUGUAUUCGGCGGCGACUGA
rnacentral:rRNA from 1 species